rnacentral:lncRNA from 1 species
CGCAAGAAAGAAAGCCAUUCUUUAAAGUUUGAUCAACAUGGAGUCCAAGGUACAUAGGACACAGGCCGAAUCUUUUCAGGGUCAAGCUGCAUUCACAAAAACCAUGUUUGAAGGACCCCACUCCCUGUUCCAUACUUGGUAUUGAAGUGUUGAAAGUUCCCUUCCAUCAAGUAUGUCUCGCUUAUGGACAAAGUUAGGCUUAAAGCCUUAAACAC